AGAUGGGGACAGGAGCUGGUGAGAGAUGGUUCAUUUGUGGACACUGCUGAAGGAAGAGGCAAAGCAAUGUGUCUGGAAAUGAGGUAGAGUGAAGAAAGGCCCAACUGAAGACACUUUCCUGCCUUGCUUUGCAGAUUUGGAGGAAAACAGAAUGAAUCCUACACAUGUGUACAAACCCGCAAAUGAGGGGAAAGCACAGGGAGCUUGUGUCAAAUUCUCCAGCAAAGAUGUGCACAGUUAGAAUUGAAAAGCAACGGGAUAAACAAGGAAAGUGCAAAGAGGAUCAUGUGUUGUUCUUGUGUAUAAAAGAUUCCUUGAAGCAUCUUGGAUUAAGUCGUGCGCAAGAUGGCUGAAUAGGAACAGCUCCGGUCUGCAGCUCCCAGCAAGAUCAACACAGAAGGUGGGUGAUUUCUGCAUUUCCAACUGAGGUACCCGGAUCAUCUCAUUGGGACUGUUUAGACAGUUGGUGCAGCCCACAGAGGGCAAGCAGAAGAAUGAGGCGUCGCCUCACCCAGGAAGCUCAAGGGGUCAGGGAACUCCUUACCCUAGCCAAGGGAAGCCGUAAGGGACUAUGCCGUGAGGAACGGUGCACUCCAGCCCAGAUACUACUCUUUUCCCACAGUCUCAGAAACCCACAGACGAGGAGAUUCCCUUGGGUGCCAAUGCCACCAGGGCCCUGGGUUUGAAGCACAAAACUGGGCAGCCGUUUGGGCAGACACCAAGCUAGCUGUAGGAGUCUUUUUCAUACCCCAGUGGUGCCUGGAUCACCAGCGAGACAGAACCGUUCACUCACCUGGAAAGGGGGCUGAAAGCCAGGGAUCCCAGUGGUCUAGCUCAGCAGAUCGCACCCCCACGGAGCCCAGCAAGCUAAGAUCCACUGACAUGAAAUUCUUACUGCCAGCACAGCAGUCUGAAGUCUACCUGGGACACUAGAGCUUGGUCAGGGAAGGGGCAUCCACCAUUACUGAGGCUUGAGUAGGCGGUUUUUCCCUCACAGUGUAAACAAAGCCACCAGGAAGUUCGAACUAGGCAGAGCCCACCACAGCACUGCAAAGCCGCUGUAGCCAGAUGGCCUCUGUAGCUUCCUCCUCUCUGGGCAGGGCAUCUCUGAAACAAAGGCAGCAGCCCCAAUCAGGGGCUUAUAGAUAAAAUUCCCAUCUCCCUAGGACAGAACACCUGGGGGAAGGGGCAGGUAUGGGCACAGCUUCAGCAGACUUAUACAUUCCUGCCUGCCAGCAAAGGGAGGCCCACUAGACUAGCAGCAGAUCUCUCUGCAAAAACCCCACAUGCCAGAAUAGAGUGGGGGACAAUAUUCAACAUUCCUAAAGAAAAUAAUUUUCAACCCAAAAUUUUAUAUCCAGACAAACUAAGCUUCACAAGCAAAGGAGCAAUAAAAUCCUUUACAGACAAGCAAAUGCUGAGAGAUUUUGUCAUCACCAGGCCUGCCUUACAAGAGCUCCUGAAGGAAGUACUAAAUAUGGACAGGAAAAACGGGUUUCAGACACUGCAAAAACAUACCAAAUUGUAAAGACCAUCGACACUGUGAAGAAACUACAUCAACUAAUGGGCAAAAUAACCAGCUAGCAUCAUAAUGACAGGAUUAAAUUCACACACAACAAUAUUAACCUUAAAUGUAAAUGGGCUAAAUGCUGCAACUAAAAGACACAGACUGGCAAAUUAGAUAAAGAGUAAAGACUCAUUGAUGUGCUGUAUUCAGGAGAUCCAUCUCACGUGCAAAGACACAUACAGGCUCAAAACAAAGGAAUGGGGGAAUAUUUACCAAGUAAAUGGAAAGCAAAAAAAAAAGCAGGGUUGCAAUCCUAGUCUCUGAUAAGACAGACUUUAAACCAAUAAAAAUCAAAAAAGACAAAGAAGGGCAUUACAUAAUGGUAAAGGGAUCAAUGCAACAAGAAAAGCUAACAAUUCUAAAUAUGUAUGCACCCAAUAUAAGAGCACCCAGAUUCAUAAAGCAAGUUCUUAGAGACCUACAAACAGACUUAGACUCUCACACAAUAAUAGUGGGAGACUUUAACACCCACUGUUAAUAUUAGACAGACCAAAAUGAGACAGAAAAUUAAUAAGGGUAUUCAGGACUUGAACUCAUCUCUUGACCAAGCGGACCUAAUAAACAUCUACACAACUCUCCACCCUGAAUCAAUAGAUGUACAUUCUUCUCAGCACCACAUUGCACUUAUUCUAAAAGUGAUCACAUAAUUGGAAGUAAAACACUCCUUAACAAAUGCAAAAGAAUGGAAAUCAUAACAAACAGUCUAUCAGACCACAGUGCAAUCAAAUUAGAACUCAGGAUUAAGAAACUUACUCAAAACCUCACAACUACAUGGAAACUGAACAACCUGCUCCUGAAUGACUACUGAGUAAAUAAUGAAAUUAAGGCAGAAAUAAAUAAGUUCUUUGAAACCAACGAGAACAAAGACAUAACAUACCAGAAUCUCUGGGACACAGCUAACCCAGAGUUUAGAGGGAAAUUUAUAGCACUAAAUGCCCACAGAAGGAAGCGGGAAAGAUCUAAAAUUGACACCCUAACAUUGCAAUUAAAAGUAUUAGAGACGCAAGAGCAAACAAAUUCAAAAGCUAGCAGAAGACAAGAAAUAACUGAGAUCCAAGUAGAACUGAAGGAGAUAGAGACAUGAAAAACCCUUCAAAAAAUCAAUGAAUCCAGGAAGUGGUUUAUUGAAAAGAUUAACAAAAUAGAUAGACCGCUAGACAGACUAAUAAAGAAGAAAAGAGAGAAGAAUCAAUUAGACAUGAAAAGUGAUAAAGGGGAUAUCACCACUGAUCCCACAGAAGUACAAAAUGCCCUCAGAGAAUACUAUAAACACCUCUACACAAAUAAACUAGAAAAUCCAGAAGAAAUGGAUAAAUUCCUGGAAACAUACACCCUCCCAAGUCGAAACCAGAAAGAAGUUGAAUGCCUGAAUAGACCAAUAACAAGUUCCGAAAUUGUGGCAGUAAUUAACAGCCUUCCAACCAAAGAAAACCCAGGACCAGACGGAUUCACAGCUGAAUUCUACCAGAGGUACAAAGAGAAGCUGGUACCAUUCCUUCUGAAACUAUUCCAAACAAUAGAAAAAGAGGCACUGCUCCCUAACUCAUUUUAUGAGGCCAGCAUCAUCCUGUGACCAAACUCUGGCAGAGACACAAUAAAAAAAGAAAAUUUCAGGCCAAUAUCCCUGAUUAACAUCAAUGCGAAAAUCCUCAAUAAAAUACUGGCAAACUGAAUCCAGCAACAUAUAAAAAGUUAUCCACCAUAAUCAAGUCGGUUUCAUCCUUCGGAUGCAAGGCUUACUCAACAUAUGCAAAACAAUAAGCAUAAUCCAUCACAUAAACAGAACCAAUGACAAAAACUACAUGAUUAUCUCAAUAUAUGCAGAAAAGUCCUUCAAUAAAAUUCAACACCCCUUCAUGCUAAAAAAUCACAAUAAAUUAGGUAUUGAUGAAAUGUAUCUCAAAAUAAUAAGAGCGAUUUAUGACAAACCCACAGCCAAUAUCAUACUGAACGGGCAAAAGCUGGAAGCAUUCCCUUUGAAAAUUGGCACAAGACAAGGAUGAUCUCUCUCACCAAUCCUAUUCAACAUGGUAUUGAAAGUUCUGGCCAAGGCAAUCAGGCAAGAGAAAGAAAUAAAGAGUAUUCAAAUAGGAAGAGAGGAAGUCAAAUUGUCUCUGUUUGCAGAUGACAUGAUUGUGUAUUUAGAAAACCCCACUGUCUCAGCCCAAAAUUUCCUUAAGCUGAUAAGCAACUUCAGCAAAGUGUCAAUACAAAAUCAAUGUGCAAAAUUCACAAGCAUUCCUAUACACCAAUAACAGACAAACAGAGAGCCAAAUCAUGAGUGAACUCUCAUUCACAAUUGCUACAAAGAGAAUAAAAUACCUAGGAAUACAACUUACAAGGGAUGUGAAGGACCUCUUCAAGGAGAACUACAAACCACUGCUCAAGGAAAUAAGAGAGGACACAAACAAAUGGAAAAACAUUCCAUGCUUAUGGAUAGAAAGAAUCAAUAUCGUGAAAAUGGCCAUACUGCCCAAAGUAAUUUAUAGAUUCAAUGCUAUCCCCAUCAAGCUACCACUGACUUUCUUCUCAGAAUUAGAAAAAAACUAAUUUAAAUUUCAUAUGGAACCAAAAAAGAGCCCACAUAGCCAAGACAAUCCUAAGCAAAAAGAACAAAGCUGGAGGCAUCAUGCCACCUGACUUCAAACUAUACUACAAGGCAACAGUAACCAAAACAGCAUGGUACUGCUACCAAAACAGAUAUAUAGACCAAUGGAACAGAACAGAGGCCUCAGAAAUAAUGCCACACAUCUACAAACAUCUGAUCUUUAACAAACCUGACAAAAACAAGAAAUGGGGAAAGGAUUCCCUAUUGAAUAAAUGGUGUUGGGAAAACUGGCUAGCCAUAUGCAGAAAACUGAAACUGGACCCCUUCCUUACAACUUAUACAAAAAUUAACUCAAGAUGCAUUAAAGACUUAAACGUAAGACCUAAAAUCAUAAAAACCCUAGAAGACAACCUACUCAAUACCAUUCAGGACAUAGGCAUGGGCAAAGACUUCAAGACUAAAAGAAAACCUAGGCAAUAUCAUUCAGGACAUAGGCAUGGGCAAAGACUUCAUGACUAAAACACCAAAAGCAAUGGCAACAAAAGUCAAAAUUGACAAAUGGGAUCUAAUUAAACUAAAGAGCUUCUGCACAGCAAAAGAAACUAUCAUCAGAGUAAACAGGCAACCUAGAGAAUGGGAGAAAAUGUUUGCAAUCUAUCCAUCUGACAAAGGGCUAAUAUCCAGAAUCUACAAGGAACUUAAACAAAUUUACAAGAAAAAAACAAACAACCCCAUCAAAAAGUGGGUAAAGGAUAUGAACAGACACUUCUCAAAAGAAGACAUUUAUGCAACCAACAAACAUAUGAAAAAAAGCUCAUCAUCACUGGUAAUUAGAGAAAUGCAAAUCAAAACCAUGAUGAGAUACCAUCUCAUGUCAGUUAGAAUGGUGAUCAUUAAAAAGUCAGGAAACAAUAGAUGCUGGAGAAAUAGGAAUGCUUUACACCGUUGGUGGGAGUCUACAUUAGUUCAACCAUUGUGGAAGACAAUGUGGUGAUUCCUCAAGGAUCUAGAUCCAGAAAUAGCAUUUGACCCAGCAAUCCCAUUACUGGGUAUAUCCCCAAAGGAUUAUAAAUCAUUCUACUAUAAAGACACAUGCACACAUAUGUUUAUUGCAGCACUGUUCACAACAGCAAAGACUUGGAACCAACCCAAAUGCCCAUCAGUGAUAGACUGGAUAAAGAAAAUGUAGCACAUAUACACCAUGGAAUACUAUGCAGCCAUAAAAAAGGAUGAGUUCAUAUCCUUUGCAGGGACAAGGAUGAAGCUGGAAACCAUCUUUCUCAGCAAACUAACACAAGAACAGAAAACCAAACACUGCAUGUUCUCACUCAAAAGUGGGAAUUGAACAAUGAGAACAUGUGGACACAGUGAGGGGAACAUCACACACCAGGGCCUGCAGGGGGGUAGGGGGCUAGGGGAGGGAUAGCAUUAAGAGAAAUACCUAAGGUAGGUGAUGGGUUAAUGGGUGCAGCAAACAACCAUGGCACGUGUAUACCUAUGAAACAAACCUGCACAUUCUGCA
rnacentral:lncRNA from 1 species